AACAUGCCGUCUGGAGAGCCGCCGCACGCAAUAUGCGGCGCACCGAAGGAGCAAGCCCCGUUCCCAUGGACGGCGGUGAAUCUCUCAGGUACCAAGGACAGGGGGAGCGGC
rfam:Delftia acidovorans SPH-1, complete genome.